rnacentral:rRNA from 1 species
CCUACGGGAGGCAGCAGUGAGGAAUAUUGGUCAAUGGGCUUACGCCUGAACCAGCCAAGUCGCGUGAGGGAAGACUGCCCUAUGGGUUGUAAACCUCUUUUGUCAGGGAGCAAUUGGCGCUACGUGUAGCGUUAUCGAGAUUACCUGAAGAAAAAGCUUCGGCUAACUCAGUGCCAGCAGCCGCGGUAAUACGGAGGAUGCGAGCGUUAUCCGGAUUUAUUGGGUUUAAAGGGUGCGUAGGCGGAAUGCCAAGUCAGCGGUAAAAUCGCGGGGCUCAACCUCGCUCCGCCGUUGAAACUGGUCUUCGAGAGUGGGCGAGAAGUAUGCGGAAUGCGUGGUGUAGCGGUGAAAUGCAUAGAUAUCACGCAGAACUCCGAUUGCGAAGGCAGCAUACCGGCGCCCAACUGACGCUGAAGCACGAAAGCGUGGGUAUCGAACAGGAUUAGAUACCCUGGUAGUC